AGUAGGACGCACAGUUUAUACCGUAGCUUGCUACACCAUAGACUGUGAGUUGCGAACGGGUGAGUAACGCGUAGGUAACCUGCCUAUUAGAGGGGGAUAACUAUUGGAAACGAUAGCUAAUACCGCAUAACAGUAUGUAACACAUGUUAGAUGCUUGAAAGAUGCAAUUGCAUCGCUAGUAGAUGGACCUGCGUUGUAUUAGCUAGUAGGUAGGGUAAUGGCCUACCUAGGCGACGAUACAUAGCCGACCUGAGAGGGUGAUCGGCCACACUGGGACUGAGACACGGCCCAGACUCCUACGGGAGGCAGCAGUAGGGAAUCUUCGGCAAUGGGGGGAACCCUGACCGAGCAACGCCGCGUGAGUGAAGAAGGUUUUCGGAUCGUAAAGCUCUGUUGUUAAGGAAGAACGAGUGUGAGAAUGGAAAGUUCAUACUGUGACGGUACUUAACCAGAAAGGGACGGCUAACUACGUGCCAGCAGCCGCGGUAAUACGUAGGUCCCGAGCGUUGUCCGGAUUUAUUGGGCGUAAAGCGAGCGCAGGCGGUUAGAAAAGUCUGAAGUGAAAGGCAGUGGCUCAACCAUUGUAGGCUUUGGAAACUGUUUAACUUGAGUGCAGAAGGGGAGAGUGGAAUUCCAUGUGUAGCGGUGAAAUGCGUAGAUAUAUGGAGGAACACCGGUGGCGAAAGCGGCUCUCUGGUCUGUAACUGACGCUGAGGCUCGAAAGCGUGGGGAGCGAACAGGAUUAGAUACCCUGGUAGUCCA
rnacentral:rRNA from 6 species